UAUGGUAAUUGUGUGCCUGAAGACGAGGUAAUACGGAGGAUGCGAGCGUUAUCCGGAUUUAUUGGGUUUAAAGGGAGCGCAGACGGGAUGUUAAGUCAGCUGUGAAAGUUUGCGGCUCAACCGUAAAAUUGCAGUUGAUACUGGCGUCCUUGAGUGCGGUUGAGGUGUGCGGAAUUCGUGGUGUAGCGGUGAAAUGCUUAGAUAUCACGAAGAACUCCGAUUGCGAAGGCAGCACACUAAUCCGUAACUGACGUUCAUGCUCGAAAGUGUGGGUAUCAAACAGG
rnacentral:rRNA from 1 species